UACGAAGGGGGCUAGCGUUGCUCGGAAUUACUGGGCGUAAAGCGCACGUAGGCGAAUCUUUAAGUCAGGGGUGAAAUCCUGGAGCUCAACUCCAGAACUGCCUUUGAUACUGAGGACCUUGAGUUCGGGAGAGGUGAGUGGAACUGCGAGUGUAGAGGUGAAAUUCGUAGAUAUUCGCAAGAACACCAGUGGCGAAGGCGGCUCACUGGCCCGGUACUGACGCUGAGGUGCGAAAGCGUGGGGAGCAAACAGG
rnacentral:rRNA from 1 species